rnacentral:rRNA from 1 species
GAUGAACGCUGGCGGCGUGCUUAACACAUGCAAGUCGAACGAUGAAGCCCAGCUUGCUGGGUGGAUUAGUGGCGAACGGGUGAGUAACACGUGAGUAACCUGCCCUUAACUCUGGGAUAAGCCUGGGAAACUGGGUCUAAUACCGGAUAGGAGCGUCCACCGCAUGGUGGGUGUUGGAAAGAUUUAUCGGUUUUGGAUGGACUCGCGGCCUAUCAGCUUGUUGGUGAGGUAAUGGCUCACCAAGGCGACGACGGGUAGCCGGCCUGAGAGUGUGACCGGCCACACUGGGACUGAGACACGGCCCAGACUCCUACGGGAGGCAGCAGUGGGGAAUAUUGCACAAUGGGCGCAAGCCUGAUGCAGCGACGCCGCGUGAGGGAUGACGGCCUUCGGGUUGUAAACCUCUUUCAGUAGGGAAGAAGCGAAAGUGACGGUACCUGCAGAAGAAGCACCGGCUAACUACGUG